GAUGAACGCUAGCGGCAGGCCUAACACAUGCAAGUCGAGGGGUAGAGUUCUUCGGGACUUGAGACCGGCGCACGGGUGCGUAACGCGUAUGCAAUCUACCUUAUACAGGGGAAUAGCCCCAGAGAAAUUUGGAUUAAUGCCCCAUAGUGUUAUCGAAUCGCAUGGUUUGAUAACUAAAGUUCCAACGGUAUAAGAUGAGCAUGCGUCCCAUUAGUUAGUUGGUAAGGUAACGGCUUACCAAGACAAUGAUGGGUAGGGGGUCCGUGAGAGGGAGGAUCCCCCACCACUGGUACUGAGACACGGACCAGACUCCUACGGGAGGCAGCAGUGAGGAAUAUUGGUCAAUGGCGCAAGCCUGAACCA
rnacentral:rRNA from 1 species